rnacentral:rRNA from 1 species
UACAGAGGGUGCAAACGUUGUUCGGAUUUACUGGGCGUAAAGCGCGUGUAGGCGGCUAUGUAAGUCGGGCGUGAAAGCCCACGGCUCAACCGUGGAAGUGCACCCGAAACUGCGUAGCUAGAGUCCUGGAGAGGAAGGUGGAAUGCUUGGUGUAGAGGUGAAAUUCGUAGAUAUCAAGCGGAACACCGGUGGCGAAGGCGGCCUUCUGGACAGUGACUGACGCUGAGACGCGAAAGCGUGGGGAGCAAACAGG